rnacentral:rRNA from 1 species
GAGUUUGAUCCUGGCUCAGAUUGAGCGCUGGCGGCAUGCCUUACACAUGCAAGUCGAACGGUAACAGGUCUUCGGAUGCUGACGAGUGGCGAACGGGUGAGUAAUACAUCGGAACGUGCCCAGACGUGGGGGGAUAACGAGGCGAAAGCUUUGCUAAUACCGCAUACGAUCUAAGGAUGAAAGCAGGGGACCGCAAGGCCUUGCGCGUUUGGAGCGGCCGAUGGCAGAUUAGGUAGUUGGUGGGAUAAAAGCUUACCAAGCCGACGAUCUGUAGCUGGUCUGAGAGGACGACCAGCCACACUGGGACUGAGACACGGCCCAGACUCCUACGGGAGGCAGCAGUGGGAAUUUUGGACAAUGGGCGAAAGCCUGAUCCAGCAAUGCCGCGUGCAGGAUGAAGGCCUCGGUUGUAACGUAGCUUUGUACGGUAACGAAAGGACGUCUGGCUAAUACCUAGGGCGACGAUGACGGUACCGUAAGAAUAAG